GACGGAGGGUGCUAGCGUUGUUCGGAAUUACUGGGCGUAAAGGGUGCGUAGGUGGUUGAUUAAGUUAUCUGUGAAAUUCCUGGGCUUAACCUGGGACGGUCAGAUAAUACUGGUUGACUCGAGUAUGGGAGAGGGUAGUGGAAUUUCCGGUGUAGCGGUGAAAUGCGUAGAGAUCGGAAGGAACACCAGUGGCGAAGGCGGCUACCUGGCCUAAUACUGACACUGAGGCACGAAAGCGUGGGGAGCAAACAGG
rnacentral:rRNA from 1 species